CAGUACCCUUGACUCCUAGCCCAUGACUCACAACAGCCUAACUCACAGCCCCUGACUCAGAGCCCGCCUGACUCACAGCUCCCCUUGACUCACGGCCCCCAACUCACAUACUCCAGACUCACAGCCCCUCUGAUUCCCAGACUGUAUUCUGUCUGUUUAAUGGACCCUCCCUGGGCUCAGUUCUGUGUGGGCUUCAAGUAAAUACCACCUGCUUCUCAGCUGCGGCUGGCGCAAAUAGCAUAUAUGGAAGGGGAUCUGAAUAGCUUUCCUGUCCCCGAGUGGAGGAAAAUUGCAGCUCUCUCCAUGGUGAACGGAGAUGACAGAGAAUCACUGGGAAGUCUCAGGGACUGUCUGCCAUGCGAAGCAAUUAGCUACGUCUCGUGGAAAGAGUCAUAACAUGACAAGACAGAAGCCCUGGUAAUUAGGAGGUUCCUCAUUAUCACUCAUCUUUUGAACAGUACAGACUGAGAAGCAAUUGCCAGUUGCAAAUUGGUCAAGCUGCCAAUUGUCCCAGCAUUCCUGAAGCCUGUCCUUUGGAUCAGGAAGAGAAGAGAACAAAGCUGCAGAGUUGUGAGGGUCCCUCUCUUGAAUACACUGAACCUGGGGGCUCAAGCCAAAUAAACAAGCCAUCUUAAGAUCUGGAGCCGAAGUU
rnacentral:lncRNA from 1 species